UUGAACGCUGGCGGCAGGCCUGACACAUGCAAGUCGAACGGUAACAGGAAGCAGCUUGCUGCUUUGCUGACGAGUGGCGGACGGGUGAGUAAUGUCUGGGAAACUGCCUGAUGGAGGGGGAUAACUACUGGAAACGGUAGCUAAUACCGCAUAACGUCGCAAGACCAAAGAGGGGGACCUUCGGGCCUCUUGCCAUCGGAUGUGCCCAGAUGGGAUUAGCUAGUAGGUGGGGUAACGGCUCACCUAGGCGACGAUCCCUAGCUGGUCUGAGAGGAUGACCAGCCACACUGGAACUGAGACACGGUCCAGACUCCUACGGGAGGCAGCAGUGGGGAAUAUUGCACAAUGGGCGCAAGCCUGAUGCAGCCAUGCCGCGUGUAUGAAGAAGGCCUUCGGGUUGUAAAGUACUUUCAGCGGGGAGGAAGGGAGUAAAGUUAAUACCUUUGCUCAUUGACGUUACCCGCAGAAGAAGCACCGGCUAACUCCGUG
rnacentral:rRNA from 1 species